rnacentral:rRNA from 1 species
AUAACGGCGUCGAGCGGCGGACGGGUGAGUAAUGCCUAGGAAAUUGCCCUGAUGUGGGGGAUAACCAUUGGAAACGAUGGCUAAUACCGCAUAAUGCCUACGGGCCAAAGAGGGGGACCUUCGGGCCUCUCGCGUCAGGAUAUGCCUAGGUGGGAUUAGCUAGUUGGUGAGGUAAUGGCUCACCAAGGCGACGAUCCCUAGCUGGUCUGAGAGGAUGAUCAGCCACACUGGAACUGAGACACGGUCCAGACUCCUACGGGAGGCAGCAGUGGGGAAUAUUGCACAAUGGGCGCAAGCCUGAUGCAGCCAUGCCGCGUGUGUGAAGAAGGCCUUCGGGUUGUAAAGCACUUUCAGUCGUGAGGAAGGUAGUGUAGUUAAUAGCUGCAUUAUUUGACGUUAGCGACAGAAGAAGCACCGGCUAACUCCGUGCCAGCAGCCGCGGUAAUACGGAGGGUGCGAGCGUUAAUCGGAAUUACUGGGCGUAAAGCGCAUGCAGGUGGUUUGUUAAGUCAGAUGUGAAAGCCCGGGGCUCAACCUCGGAAUUGCAUUUGAAACUGGCAGA